ensembl:snRNA U6 U6 spliceosomal RNA
AAUUAAUUUCAUGUGCUUGCUUCAUCACACUGGAAAGAUACAGAGAUUAGCAUGGCCCCUGUGCAGGGAAGACACACACAUUUGUGAAGUGUUCCAGAUUUUU